rnacentral:rRNA from 1 species
UACGUAGGCAGCAAGCGUUGUUCGGAAUUACUGGGCAUAAAGAGUGUGUAGGCGGUGCUCUAAGUUCGGUGUGAAAUCUCCCGGCUCAACUGGGAGGGUGCGCCGGAAACUGGGGUGCUGGAGCGCGGGAGAGGAAAGCGGAAUUCCUGGUGCAGCGGUGAAAUGCGUAGAUAUCAGGAGGAACACCGGCGGUGUAGACGGCUUUCUGGACCGUAGCUGACGCUGAGACACGAAAGCGUGGGUAGCAAACAGG